UGCACCUCCGAUGUUGUGCAGCUGUUUCUGCCUCGAGUUAUAAUAAUGUACUUGAUUGCUGGUUCUGCCUUCCUGUUCUACGUCACCAAAAUCCCUGAGCGAUAUUUUCCUGGCCAGCUGAACUACCUGGGCGCCAGCCACCAGGUGUGGCACGUACUUGUGGUGGCUAUGUUUUACUGGUGGCAUCAGACCGCUGUGUACAUCAUGCACUUUAGACACAGCCAGUCUUGCCCAGCGCACACCACCAGGAGCUAAGUGAAAUUCAUCAUGUAACAACACAAUAAUAAGAAGAACCAUAUUUUUGUGACCUCUACCUUGUCAACCUAACGACAAGGUACUUCUGAGUACCCGCUGUAGAAAUAAGGGGGCUUCUUUAUCGUACGCCCUCCGUCACACUGUUCAACUCACCUGUGUGUACCACUCGCAGACUAUCUUCCCAAUCUGAAAUCCACAUUAGGGAUUAGAGCAGCUGCACAGCCUCGGUAAGAAAUAUGUCUGACACCCUUCACUGUAAUUUAACUGUCCAAAAUAAAAUAAAAUAAAAUACAUAAACACAUCAUGUCAGACACUGCAUGCAUUAAAGGAGAAUGUGCGGAUGUGAUUACAGACGGCUGAACGAUUGACACAAACGUGUAGCAUGUCAGUAAAAUGUUUGGCCACCAGGUGUCCCCAGAACAUCUUAAAUUCAGCUUGAAAUUUGUUCUAAACCUUCUGGAGGGAUUGAACACUUUUGUUUUUUUAAUAAUGACGCAUAUAUAAAUAUGCUGAGAAGGUACCCGAAUCCCACGGCUUAGCAGAGCCACUGGAGGUGGAGGUUGGUGCUGGGAUUGUGUUUGCUCCUUAAGGACUGUGAGCUGAUGUUAGAUGUGGUCAGCCACACUAACUCAGCCCCUAAAGCACAGAAAACAGUGAGCUCCAUUAGAUCAAUGCAUGAAACUGUAUCUUUUGUAUUCGUAGAAAAUAUUUGGGUGAUAAAAGCAUUUUCUCAUGGUUGUUUAUGAUUGUAGUUUUUGUACAGAAGUGUUGGUAAAAAAAUAUCAAUAGGUAUUUUGAAUCCUUUGAAUCUUACUUCUUAGCCUGUGUGAACAAUUAUUUAUUUGUUUGGUUUUUUUCCUUGUUUUGUUGUCGGUUCUGUAUAAAAUGUCUUGAUUAAAAAGUGGGAAUGACAGAAAAAGCUGAGGGAGCUGAACGUUACCGUUUGGGUACUGUGAGUUACCUCUCUUUGGUAGAAACAGUCACUCAGUAUUUGCAGUAUUUUUUUUUUUUUUUUUUCAUUUUUGAAAAUACUUUGAAUGCUCUUCAAAGUUGCUAAAGCCAGUAUGUAAAAUCAAAGCUGUUGUUAUCAGCUCAGAGAAACAGACUAAUCUUAAUGCUGAACCAAUUUUUAUCAUUGAGAUGAUGGGUAUAUAUUUUUUAGUCUUCAGUCUCUUAAAAUAAUGUUACAUAAUUUGGGAGUCUGAUUUCAGUCGUCCUGCUGUAGCUUACUUACAGUUCACCUCACUCAACACAGCUCAUUAGAGAGGUACUAAGUGACCUCUGGUUGUUUAUCUGUUGCAAUGGUUUAAUCAAAUUAUAGGAUAGUGCAUUUAUCUACUGGCACGCUUCCAGUUUUGAUAUUGUGCUCUCUUGUAAAACAGAUCAGCCACAACAUUAAAACUCCCCCACUAACACCGUCAUCGUGGUGGAGGCGUGGCUUGGACUGCAGCAGUGUUCAUGUGGGCAAAACAGUGCAUUGUAACAAGGUUCCUAAUGCUAUUUGUUUCACCUCUCAGUAGUUUUAAUGUGGUGGCUGAUAUGUGUCUGACGAAAGAAAGCGAGAUCUCUUUCUUCAUAUUUAAUUUUGAGGAAAUGACGGUUUAGCAGCGGUACGUGUGACUAUGAAUUCACAGUUUGCUGUGAGCAGUAGCACUUAACAUAGCACUCAGUGAUGAGCCCGGGAGGUCAGUCAACUGUAGCAGAUAUCUGUUAUCAGCCAUCAAUCCUUUUAUCAUGAAGCCUCUCGGAACAAUGUGAGAAAAAAAUACUGAUAAUUCCCACCUCGUUGCUUUAACAAGGCCAGUUUGAUGUGUGUCAGCUUCCUUUUCUUUUUUAAAUUAAUGUACUUUUGGGCAGUUAUAUAUUUUUGGUGGUUUGUAUUGUUUUUGUAUUAUUCAAUCAGGUUUGCCUUAUUAUCUGUUUGUACUGUAAUGGCAUUUCUACAAUCUGUGGGUCCACAAUUGAGCCUAAACUAGAACAACAUGAUCAAACUGUUACACUCCAAGGCCAGUGUGUUUUUCUUUCUUUUCAGAGCACUUACUGCUGCAGUCAUGAUGGCAGCACUCAAAAGCACUCUUUUCUUUUUUUUAAGUGUCUUUAUUUUGGCAUUAAAUGCUUGAUCUGCUAGGACUGCUGUUUGGUUGUUUUUCCUUUGUAAGUGUGUUUUGUAUGUUACUGCGGUGGCACUGACUACUGCGAUGUGAAAUAUUUAUUUCAGUGCCUAUGUGAAAAUAUAUUUUUCAACUAUUUGAAUGAAUAAAGAAUGCAGGGAAA